rnacentral:rRNA from 1 species
UGGGGAAUAUUGCACAAUGGGCGCAAGCCUGAUGCAGCCAUGCCGCGUGUGUGAAGAAGGCCUUCGGGUUGUAAAGUACUUUCAGCGGGGAGGAAGGGAGUAAAGUUAAUACCUUUGCUCAUUGACGUUACCCGCAGAAGAAGCACCGGCUAACUCCGUGCCAGCAGCCGCGGUAAUACGGAGGGUGCAAGCGUUAAUCGGAAUUACUGGGCGUAAAGCGCACGCAGGCGGUUUGUUAAGUCAGAUGUGAAAUCCCCGGGCUCAACCUGGGAACUGCAUCUGAUACUGGCAAGCUUGAGUCUCGUAGAGGGGGGUAGAAUUCCAGGUGUAGCGGUGAGAUGCGUAGAGAUCUGGAGGAAUACCGGUGGCGAAGGCGGCCCCCUGGACGAAGACUGACGCUCAGGUGCGAAAGCGUGGGGAGCAAACAGG